rnacentral:rRNA from 1 species
AUUGAACGCUGGCGGCAGGCCUAACACAUGCAAGUCGAGCGGGGGUAGCAAUACCCUAGCGGCGAACGGGUGAGGAAUGCUUGGGAAUCUGCCUGGUCGUGGGGGAUAACGUUCCGAAAGGAACGCUAAUACCGCAUACGUCCUACGGGAGAAAGGGGGGGAACUUCGGACUUCUCGCUAUCAGAUGAGCUCAAGCGGGGUUAGCUAGUUGGUGGGGUAAAGGCCCACCAAGGCGACGAUACCUAGCUGGUCUGGGAGGAUGAUCAGCCACACUGGAACUGAGACACGGUCCGGACUCCUACGGGAGGCAGCAGUGGGGAAUAUUGGACAAUGUGCGAAAGCCUGAUCCAGCCAUGCCGCGUGUGUGAAGAAGGCCUUCGGGUUGUAAAGCACUUUAAGCGAGGAGGAAGGUUCGUUACUUAAUACGUAACGGAAUUGACGUUACUCGCAGAAUAAGCACCGGCUAAUUCUGUGCCAGCCGCCGCCGUAA